rnacentral:rRNA from 1 species
CGCCUCUUGCAAACCAAUGUAUUAGAGGUCCCGCCUGCCCUGUGACCAAAAGUUUAACGGCCGCGGUAUUUUGACCGUGCGAAGGUAGCGUAAUCACUUGUCUUUUAAAUGAAGACCUGUAUGAAUGGCAUAACGAGGGCUCAACUGUCUCCUUUUUCCAGUCAGUGAAAUUGACCUGCUCGUGCAGAGGCGAGCAUAACCCCAUAAGACGAGAAGACCCUAUGGAGCUUAAAACACAAGAUCAACUAUGCUAUCAAGCCAACCACCCACGGAAAUAACAGCUAAAAGCAUAAUAGUACCCUGAUCCUAAUGUUUUCGGUUGGGGCGACCACGGAGGACAAAAUAGCCUCCAUGUCGACGGGGGCACUGCCCCUAAAACCUAGGGCGACAGCCCAAAGCAACAGAACAUCUGACGAACAAUGACCCAGGCUACAAGCCUGAUCAACGAACCAAGUUACCCUAGGGAUAACAGCGCAAUCCUUUCUAAGAGUCCAUAUCGACGAAAGGGUUUACGACCUCGAUGUUGGAUCAGGACAUCCUAAUGGUGCAGCCGCUAUUAAGGGUUCGUUUGUUCAACGAUUAAAGUCCU